UAUUAUAAGUGAAUAUAGGCUCAUAUAUGCUCCAAAUUUGGUGGAGUGUCUCUACCCCUGACCUUAAUCAGGGACUAUGAGUCAGAAACGUGGACUU
rnacentral:ncRNA from 2 species